rnacentral:rRNA from 1 species
AUCGAACGCUGGCGGCAGGCCUAACACAUGCAAGUCGAACGAGUGGCGGACGGGUGAGUAAUGUCUGGGAAACUGCCCGAUGGAGGGGGAUAACUACUGGAAACGGUAGCUAAUACCGCAUACCAUCGGAUGUGCCCAGAUGGGAUUAGCUAGUAGGUGGGGUAACGGCUCACCUAGGCGACGAUCCCUAGCUGUUCUGAGAGGAUGACCGUCCACACUGGAACUGGUAAACGGUCCAAACUCCUACGGAGGGCAGCAGUGGGGAAUAUUGCACAAUGGGCGAAAGCCUGAUGCAGCCAUGCCGCGUGUAUGAAGAAGGCCUUCGGGUUUUAAAGUACUUUCAGCGAGGAGGCGUUACUCGCAGAGAAAGCACCGGCUAACUCCGUGCCAGCAGCCGCGGUAAUUC